UACGUAGGGGGCUAGCGUUGUCCGGAAUCAUUGGGCGUAAAGAGCGUGUAGGCGGCCCGGUAAGUCCGCUGUAAAAGUCAAAGGCUCAACCUUUGAAUGUCAGUGGAUACUGCCGGGCUAGAGUCCGGAAGAGGCGAGUGGAACUCCUGGUGUAGCAGUGAAAUGCGUAGAGAUCGUAAGGAAGACCAGUGGCGAAGGCGGAUCUCUGGACAGUCCCUGACACUGAGGCACGAAGGCCAGGGGAGCAAACGGG
rnacentral:rRNA from 1 species